rnacentral:rRNA from 1 species
GUAGGUGGCAAGCGUUGUCCGGAAUUAUUGGGCGUAAAGCGCGCGCAGGCGGUUCUUUAAGUCUGAUGUGAAAGCCCACGGCUCAACCGUGGAGGGUCAUUGGAAACUGGAGAACUUGAGUACAGAAGAGGAAAGCGGAAUUCCACGUGUAGCGGUGAAAUGCGUAGAGAUGUGGAGGAACACCAGUGGCGAAGGCGGCUUCCUGGUCUGUAACUGACGCUGAGGCGCGAAAGCGUGGGGAGCAAACAGGGAUUAGAUACCCUGGUAGUCCACGCCGUAAACGAUGAGUGCUAAGUGUUAGGGGGUUUCCGCCCCCUUAGUGCUGCAGCUAACGCAUUGAGCACUCCGCCCUGGGAGUACGGCCGCAAGGCUG